rnacentral:lncRNA from 1 species
GUUUGAUCUCUGAACUCAUCUGCCAUGUUGUGAAGGAGCCCAGGCCACACAGCAGGAUCAUGUGUACAAGUUCCAUUUGAUGCCCGACUGUGACCUCUGCUGAUCUUUGGCCAGCAUCACUAACCAACCAUGUGCAUGACUCAGCCUUCAGGACUCCAGCCCCCAGUCUUCAAAUCAGUCAGCUGAGUCUCCACAGAGCUGGUCUCCAAAGCAUUGACCUACAGACUCUGUAGCUGAGUAAACAGUUGCUCUCUCUUUUGUAUAGGUAGUCACUGAAGUCAGAGGUGGUGGGGAGCUUGACCAGGGAUCCCUGUGAUUAAGUGAUGGCCUCUCUGUAGGCCAUGUUACCUGUGGAGUGGAGACACUAGAGACAGGAAGGCCAAUGAGGAGGCUAGUGCACCUGUCUGGUUCUUGGGCAAGUGGGUGGAUAUCUUAGGUCUCUCAAACUGAGGCCCUGUCUCAAAUUAAAAAAUUAAAAGGGCUGGGGAUGUAGCUCAGUGGUAAAGGACCCCUGGGUUCAAGCCCCAGUAAGGGAGAAAAAAAAAAAAGACCAAAAGAAUUUUUUUUUCUUUCUGCAUAAAUUCUCCUCAGUGCUCAAGGCCCAACCUGUAUCUCACUUCCAUAGGUGGACACCUUGCAGGAGGGGAGCUCUCUUCUCUCUGAGGUCCUGAUCUUGCUCCCACUGCUCUAACAGAACCACUCAUGUCCUGCCUUACAUACAUGUCCUGCUUGGUGUAUCUUACUGAUAAUUCACAUUUAUUUAUUUUUUGUUUGUUUUGGUGCUGGGGAUUGAACCUAGGACUUAUGCAUGCUAGGCACAUGCUCUAUCCGGCCCUCCCCCCACUAGACCCCCUCAUUCUUCUUUUCUUUAUUUAUUUCUUUUUUGUUGGUGGUUUGUUUGUUUGGUUGGUUUUAUUUGUUUGUUUGUUUGUUGUUGUUGUUGUUGUUUGUUUGUUUUAUUCCUUGGGGCUGGGGAUUGAACCCAGGAGCACUCUACCACUGAACUAUAUCCUCAGUCCUUUUUGUUUUUUAUUUUGAGACAGGGUCUCACAAAGUUUCCCAGGUUGGCCAAGAACUUGGGUCUUUAGCCUCAGCCUCCCAAGUAGCUGGUUUACAGAGUACUCUUUUCUUUAAGAUGCUUUCCAUAUUGAAGUUUUAUUGGGUAGUUUUGUUUUGUUUUGUUUGUGGUGCUGAGGAUUGAACCCAGGGCCUCACACAUGCUAGGAAGGCUCUCUACCACUGAGCUACACUCCAGCCCUUGUGCCUGAGGUAUUUUUCCCUAUCAGGGGGCACAAGGAGGCUCUGGGAGGUACUGGUCAAGUCCUGUCUGUUAAUCUGGACACUGAGUAUAUAGCUGGAUUUGCUCUGCAAAAUUUUAUUAAACUGCACACUUACAACUUAUGUGCUAUUCUUCAUGCAUGUUGUAAAUUUGAAGUUCACUUAAAAAAGAAGUUAUUAUGGGGCUGAGGCUGGGGCUCAGUGGUAGAGUGCUUGCCUAACAUGUGUGAGGCACUAGUUUCAAUCCUUAGCACCACAUACAAAAAUAAGCAAAUAAAAUAAAAG